CAUGUCUGCCACAGGUUUUUAACGGAUUUUUGCUGUGCUGAAUCCAGAGGUCUGUGGCGUCAGAGGGCACAAAGGAACCAGGGGGAGCGUGUUUCUGUUUUAGCUUGUUUUGCAGAAAUGUCUGCCUGUGUUAUCUGCCGAUCACGUCUUGUUUUGGUUCUCGGAUCCGAGUGGAUUUCGGCCUCUGUGACGGUGAGAGCGCCCAAAAAAUAAAAACCUCCGCUAGGAUGAAACACAAACACUGACCCACGAUGCAAGGCAAGCUGAGACAAGGGGUCUGAGUUAUUCAGGGGUGUGAGUUAUUCAGGGGUAUGAGUUAUUCAGGGGUCUGAUUUAUUAAGGGGUGUGAGUUAUUCAGGGGUCUGAGCUAAUCAGAGGGAUUUGGUGUUAUUCGGGGGUGUGAGUUAUUCAGAGGGAUUUGGUGUUUUCAGGGGUCUUAUUUAAUCACUGUCUGUAAGGGAGUUCUCUUUGGAAAUGGAGGCUGUGCGACAGAGCAUUCUUAGAAUGGUUUCUGGGCGCAGCACACUUUGUUUGCGGACCAUUGUUGAAAUUCACAGGUAGUGAACUCCCAGGUUCUACUGAAAUCCAGUGGCAAAUCCUUGGAUCCAGUGAAAUCUAGUUUUAACACCCAGGGUCCAGUGAAAUCCAGCGUUGACACCCAGGGUCCAGUAUACUGUAUCCAGUGGUAACUCCCAGGGUCCUUUGCUCCCUGUAGUGACCAGCCCCUGUGCCCUGAUCCCAGAUCAGCCGCUGCAGGAAUGAAAGGUCUGCGGUACACAUGGAGCUGAUUCGCAGAGCGCGGCGUGAGUUAUGGCCUAAAAACACAUAACAACCUCCUAGACCCCCACCAGUCCGGCUUCAGACCUGGCCACUCGACAGAGACCGCACUCCUCUCGGUCAGUGAGUCGCUUCACGCCGCACAAGCAGCCUCCCGUUCGUCCGUCCUGAUCCUCCUAGACCUUUCUGCUGCCUUUGACACAGUCGACCACCCCAUCCUCCUGUCCUCCCUGGCAGCUAUGGGGAUCUGUGGCACAGCACUAGACUGGAUCGAGUCCUACCUCUCCGGUCGCUCCUUCCAAGUCGCCUGGGCCGGUGCAGUAUCGGCACCUCGCCCCCUUGCCACAGGAGUUCCCCAGGGCUCAGUCCUUGGUCCCCUCCUGUUCUCCCUGUACACCCAAUCUCUUGGUCCUGUAAUCUCUGCCCAUGGUUUGUCUUAUCAUUGUUAUGCCGAUGACACCCAACUCUUUCUCUCCUUCCCCCCCUCUGACACACAGGUCUCCGCUUGCAUCUCUGCUUGCCUGAGGGACAUCCAGAGCUGGAUGGAUAACCACCAUCUUAAGCUGAACCCAGGUAAGACAGAGAUGAUCUUCAUUCCUGCUCCAUCCUCUAACCUCCUUGACUUUUCUAUUUCCCUAGGGGUCGCCGUGGUGUCAUCAUCACCCACUGUCAAAAACCUUGGAGUGGUGAUGGACAACAGACUGUCCCUCUCCCAGAACAUCGCGGCGGUGAGUCGAACGUGCAGGUUCUUCCUGUACAACAUCCGGAGAAUCUGUCCCUUCCUCACCACUUAUGCAACCCAGCUCCUGGUUCAAGCGAUGGUCCUGUCCCGCCUGGACUACUGCAACUCCCUGCUGGCUGGUCUGCCAGCAUCCGCCAUCAGACCCCUGCAGCUCAUCCAGAAUGCUGCAGCUCGUCUGGUCUACAACCUCCCCAGACAUUCCCAUGUCACCCCCCCUGCUCACUGACCUCCACUGGCUGCCUGUUAUGGCUCGCAUCAAAUUUAAGACUUUGGUGCUUGCAUACCAGGAGGCUAAGGGGUCAGCACCAGGACACAUCCAGAGGAUCAUCAGACCCUACACACCAGCCAGACCUCUUCGUUCUGCCACCUCUGGACGCUUGGCACCUCCCCCUCUUCGCGUCUGUACUUCCCGUUCACGUCUGCUGUCUGUCCUGGCCCCUCGCUGGUGGAAUGACCUUCCUGUGGCGGUCAGAACAGCAGAGAAUCUGACUACCUUCAAGAGCAGGCUAAAGACUCAUCUCUUCAGGCUGCACCUCUCCCCACCCCUCCCUAGCCUCUAGUUUAGCUCUACUCUGUGUACCUAGUUAGGCUAAUGCGAUCUCGUUAGUUUUGUAUUUGGCAGGAUUGUUUUGUUUGAUUCUGAUUAGGCAAAUGUGAUUUCAGUGCUAGUUUUGUACUUGGCAGGAUUGUUUUGUUUAUUUGCUGAACAGGUUACCCUACAGGGUUGGAGUCUUGAUCUAUGUGGUCACUUCUGGCACUACAAUCUUUACUUCACUCUAGUGUGUUUUUCUGCACCUCUGCACUUUGAACUGAUGCACUUGUUGUACGUCAAUCUGGAUAAGAGCGUCUGCUAAAUGCCUGUAGUGUAAUGUAAUGUAAUGAGGUCCCCUGCAGCUCUGGUUGAUAACAACAGUUCAGAGAAUCGUGUUCAGCCAGUUCAAUUCUAACUCAUUUUGGAUCAGUAUCUACACUGUGAAUUAAGAGGACAUACAGGCCAAAGCUGUAGUAGCCCCAGCCAAGUCCAUAGAUGUCAUUUCAACUUUGGGGAGUGGGGGACACAAUAAUAGUACCAUCUAAUACAACAUGAUAAUAUUGGGGGGGUGCAUUUGAUGUUGGUCCACUCCCAAUAUUAUGCAUCUAUUACGGCACCUAACUUUAUGUUGUAGGUUUAUGUAUUUAUAACUACUAAGUCAGUUAUGUAUUAACUGCUACUAUCAGUUGUGAACCUAAUGACUUGCCGUCCGCUGUGUUAUCUGAACCUGUGUGUAAGCACGUAUGUGAGUCACUCUGGAUAAGAGUGUCUCUUAAAUGCCUGAAUUUAUGCAAAGUUUUAAGAAGAACCGAGGCAGGCAGUGUUGUGUUUCUCUAAUAUAAAGACAUAGGAUGGCCUGGUUGUCUCUCUGAAGAAGAGCAGGUUGCGGAAAUGAGUCACUCCGUGAAAAAAGGAGCUUUUCCUGCAGGAACCUCCCUUAAUCAGCAUUGUCCCUCUAUGAAAACACCCCUUCAAGAGAGGAGCACUGCAAACAUGUUAACUACUUCCUGUAUUUCACUGAUGCAAAAACUGCAGUCAGGAGGCACAAACUACGCCAGUGCAGUCAAUUGUCUUGAGUGUCAAUUUUUAUUUGGGGAAUAAAGUGCUGAUGGUGAAA